rnacentral:tRNA from 1 species
GCCUUGGUAGCUCAGAGGAUAGAGCGUCGGUUUCCGGUACCGAAAGUCGCAGGUUCGAUUCCUGUCCGGGGCA